AAACAUUGGUCCGACGGCGACGUCGUGUGGCCGGCCAAAAAUAGUCGCGGUGGGACGGCAUAAAUCGGUUGAAAUAUGUAACACAGAAAAUUUCCUAAAAACGCAUUCACAUACGUUUGUUCAUAUGUAUAGUUCUAUUGGGUUGCAUGUAUAAUUGUUACUUUGACUUUUAGCUGCGUGUAGUUCAAUAUUUACCCUCGUUGAGAAUCGGUUGUGAGAUGACGUCACUAGGUGACGUUUUUUACACGUGCAUUACACGUCCAUCAUGACCCUCAAUGAAAUGCUUGUUAAAUAUACAAAAGCUGUGCUUACACCUUAUUAAUACUGCAAUAAUUAAAGUGCACCAAGAAGUUUUUAAGAGAUUUUAAAGAGGUUGUGAUUAGACGUCCACUGACGUCUUUUACACGUCUCUUCAAGCAAGACUAUCAGGAAAAAAAAACGUUUUUUUUUUAAUGAAAUACAUUAUUUGAAUACAAAGUAAAUUUAUUUAUCUUGUUUAAAUAAAUUGUAAUCAUAACGUGCCCAGUGUGGUUAAGUGAUUGCAAAGCCACACUGAUCAUUAUUUAAACCUGUUUUAUGUAUUCGCUGUUAUUUUCAUGGAGUGUAUGCAUAUACAUGUAAAACAUGGCGGUUGUGGGGUAAUGCAAAAGAGAGUAGAUGGAGAAGUGUUUACGGAUUUUAAAAAGACAAGAUUAAUGGAAAUAGUUUGAAGAUUUGAAUUAUGUAUUUAUGUAUAAAAUAUCAGGAUUUAUUUAUUUAUUUAUUUAUUUAUUUAUUCUUUUAUAGUUGAACCAUGUACGUUUCCAGAGACAAUUUCACACUCCAGACCAGUAGGUGGCGGGCAUGCACCUUUUACGGUGGUUUGCCAAUCCGCCUGAAAACUCAAAAGAAGAUGAUUAUCUCGCGCCCGCGCGAUACGUUAGUCAAGCGUUCACCUGGAACACACAACCACGAGGAGAGGAGCAAUUGAAGAGGGAGUUGUGUCUCUAUAUAUUUAUACUGUAUAAAACAUACUGUUGGAGUUGCUUAUCAUGUCCUCUGAGUACCAAAAGAAGUGGAGACGACGAAGGGCAAGGGUUGAUGCCUUAGUGGAACAUGAUAGCAGCUCUGAAUCCGAGGGGCCAGUGGAGCCAGCCUUGGUGGGGGAGGGCAGUCCACUCAUGGAGGGAUCAACAUGUGAUGAAUUACAAACUAUGGAGGGCUGUAGUUCUUCUAUCAGCACAGUAACAGUGUCCAUUAUGGGUGAUACUGAUGAAGAACACAAUUAUGACACCGACUCUACUGAAACAGAGUCUGAGCAGUUGAAUGACACUUCACAUUCAACUGAUGAAACACCUUCUCUCCAUGUAGACUUGGCUAGUUGGGCUACUGCUACAAACCAGACCCACAAGGCACUAAAUGAGCUUCUUUGUGUGCUCAGACGCCAUGGCCAUAGACUUCCCAAAGAUGCUAGAAGCCUUCUUGAUACUCCACAAGGAGUGCCAGUUCAUAAUAAAUGCAAUGGACAGUAUAUUUAUUAUGGUAUUGAGCGUUACCUUCUUGAACACAUUUCAAAAGAGACAAUGCCAGGACAAGUUGAAAUGUGCUUUAAUGUGGAUGGCGUGCCAUUGUUUAAAUCAAGUCAAAUGUGUUUCUGGCCCAUUCUUGGUCAAUUUCCGAACUGUCAGCCAUUUAUUGUAGCUCUGUAUUAUGGAUCCAGCAAGCCUGACCCUGUUGAGGAGUUUUUACAUGAUUUCUUAGAGGAGUUGCAACAACUCAUCCAAACUGGAGUUUCAUUCCAGAAUUUGGUUCACACCGUUACAGUGAAGGCGAUCAUCUGUGAUGCACAAGCCAGGUCAUUUCUAAAAUGUAUAAAAAGUCACAAUAGUCUUCAUGGAUGUGAGCGAUGUGUUGCAGUAGCACAAAUGAUCGAAAGGAGGGUAGUUUACUUGAUGAAGGGUACUUCUGAAGGAAGAACCGAUGAGGUAUUCAACCGAGCUGGAUACCCUGACCAUCAAAAACAAAUAUCACCUCUUGUUAGAGCUGGUAUUUUGUGUGUGAAACAGUUCCCCCUUGACUACAUGCACCUAGUAUGUCUUGGAGCCAUGAAAAGGCUGCUGACAUACUUGUGGCGUGGGCCAGUUAUCUGUCGACUGAGUAAGGCUCAGAGAGAACAGGUACAAAUGAACAUUAGUACGUUGAAACAAGCUUUGCCUGCAGAGUUUUCAAGGCAGCCAAGAAGCAUGGAAGACUUGGACAGGUGGAAAGCUACUGAGCUACGUCAGUUCAUGCUCUACACAGGACCCUUGAUCUUGAAAGAUGUGCUUUCUAAUGACCAGUACCACCACUUUCUUUGUCUGAGUGUUGGCAUGAGCAUUCUUUUGGAUGAAUCGGAUGAGAAGAGAGAGUCCUAUCUAGGAUAUGCACACAACAUUCUGGAGCAUUUUGUGGAUGGCUCUGUGGAUUUUUAUGGACCUACCUUUCCAACAUACAACAUUCAUUCCAUCAAACAUUUGUCAGACGAUGCUGCAAACUUCCACAGCUCCUUGAAUGAUAUUUCAUGUUUUCCGUUUGAGAACCACUUACAAGUUAUCAAAAAAUUGGUGAGAAGUGGCAAACAACCGCUAGUGCAAGUCACAAAAAGACUUGCUGAAAGACAAUGUACUGAAAGACAUGCCAGACGAUCUCAAAGUACAACAAAGCUAACAGCAAAGAUGCCUGACAACUGUGUGUUCCUUAUGGAUAAUGCAGUGGGAUUUAUUCAAGAGAAACGAAGCGAUGGAACACUAAGGAUGGAUGUGUUUAGGGAAACUGACUGUGACAGUCUCUUUGAAAAGCCAUGUAACUCAAAGCUCUUCAACAUUAUGCUUGUCAGCAGUGACUUGACAAUGGCAAAGCGAAUACUGAUAAACAGAGAAAGCAUCUACAAAAAGGCUGUGUGUCUUCCUUACAAACAAGGUUAUGCUAUAUUGCCUCUGUUGCACAAACCAGAAUGACUAGACUUGGUAAUGGACAAUCGUGGCGAAGCAAAAAGAACUAGAAAGAGGAAAAUCUUCACUGACUUUGUUAAUGACUUGGACCUUGAAAACGACAGUGACAUGACUGACAUUGAGUUAACCCAGCUUAGUCAAAGUCUUCUGCCAGUAAAAAAACGUAAAACAGAACCUAAUCCAAAAAUAAAUAAACAAGAUGUUAAAAGGACUGUGUCCUAUCCAGAUCCUCCUCCAAAAUAUAAACAUCCAAAUCCCAAGCCAGGUCAACACAAACCAAAUGAAGCUGUUGCAAAUUCUACAAACAAUAAAAAAAAAAAGAAG